GACGAACGCUGGCGGCGUGCUUAACACAUGCAAGUCGAACGGAAAGGCCCUGCUUUUGUGGGGUGCUCGAGUGGCGAACGGGUGAGUAACACGUGAGUAACCUGCCCCUGACUUUGGGAUAACAUCAGGAAACUGGGGCUAAUACCGGAUAGGAGCUCCUGCUGCAUGGUGGGGGUUGGAAAGUUUCGGCGGUUGGGGAUGGACUCGCGGCUUAUCAGCUUGUUGGUGGGGUAGUGGCUUACCAAGGCUUUGACGGGUAGCCGGCCUGAGAGGGUGACCGGCCACAUUGGGACUGAGGUACGGCCCAGACUCCUACGGGAGGCAGCAGUGGGGAAUAUUGCGCAGUGGGCGGAAGCCUGAUGCGGCAACGCCGCGUGCGGGAUGACGGCCUUCGGGUUGUAAACCGCUUUCGCCUGUGACGAAGCGUGAGUGACGGUAAUGGGUAAAGAAGCACCGGCUAACUACGUG
rnacentral:rRNA from 1 species